GCAUAUCAAUAAGCGGAGGAAAAGAAACCAACAGGGAUUGCCCCAGUAGCGGCGAGUGAAGCGGCAAAAGCUCAGAUUUGGAAUCGCUUCGGCGAGUUGUGAAUUGCAGGUUGGCGCCUCUGCGGCGGCGGCGGUCCAAGUCCCUUGGAACAGGGCGCCAUUGAGGGUGAGAGCCCCGUGGGACCGUUUGCCUACGCUCUGAGGCCCUUCUGACGAGUCGAGUUGUUUGGGAAUGCAGCUCUAAGCGGGUGGUAAAUUCCAUCUAAGGCUAAAUACUGGCGAGAGACCGAUAGCGAACAAGUACUGUGAAGGAAAGAUGAAAAGCACUUUGAAAAGAGAGUGAAACAGCACGUGAAAUUGUUGAAAGGGAAGGGUAUUGCGCCCGACAUGGAGCGUGCGCACCGCUGCCCCUCGUGGGCGGCGCUCUGGGCGUGCUCUGGGCCAGCAUCGGUUUUUGCCGCGGGAGAAGGGCGGCGGGCAUGUAGCUCUUCGGAGUGUUAUAGCCUGCCGCCGGCGCCGCGAGCGGGGACCGAGGACUGCGACUUUUGUCUCGGAUGCUGGCACAACGGCGCAACACCGCCCGUCUUGA
rnacentral:rRNA from 1 species